rnacentral:misc_RNA from 1 species
GAUGAAGAACGUAGCGAAAUGCGAUAAGUAGUGUGAAUUGCAGACUUUAGUGAAUCAUCGAAUCUUUGAACGCACAUUGCGCCCCCUGGUAUUCCGGGGGGCAUGCCUGUCCGAGCGUCAUUACAACCCUCAAGCUCAGCUUGGUAUUGGGCCCCGCCGACCCGGCGGGCCCUAAAGUCAGUGGCGGUGCCGUCCGGCUCCGAGCGUAGUAAUUCUUCUCGCUCUGGAGGUCCGGUCGUGUGCUCGCCAGCAACCCCCAAUUUUUUUCAGGUUGACCUCGGAUCAGGUAGGGAUACCCGCUGAACUUAAGCAUAUCAAUAAGCGGAGGA